UACGUAGGGUGCGAGCGUUAAUCGGAAUUACUGGGCGUAAAGCGUGCGCAGGCGGUUUUGUAAGCCAGAUGUGAAAUCCCCGGGCUUAACCUGGGAAUGGCAUUUGGGACUGCAAGGCUUGAGUGCGGCAGAGGAGACUGGAAUUCCUGGUGUAGCAGUGAAAUGCGUAGAUAUCAGGAGGAACACCGGUGGCGAAGGCGACAUCCUGGACCAACACUGACGCUGAGGAGCGAAAGCCAGGGGAGCAAACGGG
rnacentral:rRNA from 1 species